rnacentral:rRNA from 1 species
UGCAGUCGAACGGUCUGACAACCGGCCUCGGUUGGUUGCCAGAUAGUGGCGGACGGGUGAGUAACGCGUGGAUAACCUGCCCAUCAGACAGGGAUAACACCGGGAAACUGGUGCUAAUACCGGAUACGUACGUAAGGGGGCAUCCCUUUACGUAGAAAGGCGAUGCAAAUCGCUACUGAUGGAUGGGUCCGCGUCCCAUUAGCUAGUUGGCAGGGUAAUGGCCUACCAAGGCGACGAUGGGUAGCCGGCCUGAGAGGGUGGCCGGCCACACUGGGACUGAGAUACGGCCCAGACUCCUACGGGAGGCAGCAGUGGGGAAUCUUCCGCAAUGGGCGAAAGCCUGACGGAGCAACGCCGCGUGAGUGAAGAAGGCUUUCGGGUCGUAAAACUCUGUCUUGGGGGAAGAAAAAAAUGACGGUACCCCAGGAGGAAGCCCCGGCUAACUACGUGCCA